AGAGUGAACGCUGGCGGCAGGCCUAACACAUGCAAGUCGAACGGCAGCACAGGGGAGCUUGCUCUCCGGGUGGCGAGUGGCGGACGGGUGAGGAAUACAUGGGAAUCUGCCCAAUCGUGGGGGAUAACGUAGGGAAACUUACGCUAAUACCGCAUACGACCUUAGGGUGAAAGCGGCGGACCGCAAGGCGUCGCGCGAUUGGAUGAGCCCAUGUCGGAUUAGCUUGUUGGCGGGUAAGCCACCAAGGCGACGAUCCGUAGCUGGUCUGAGAGGAUGAUCAGCACACUGGAACUGAGACACGGUCCAGACUCCUACGGGAGCAGCAGUGGGAAUAUUGGACAAUGGGCGCAAGCCUGACUCCAAGCCAUGCCGCGUAGGGUGAAGAAGGCCUUCGGUUGUAAAGUCCCUUUUGUCCGGAAAAGAAACGCUUACGGGCUAACGUACCCCGGGGUCUAGGACCGGACCGGAAGACUAACGC
rnacentral:rRNA from 1 species